ACAAUUUUAUUUUUUCCAGUUUUAUUGAUAUAUAAUUGACUUACAACACCGUGUUAGUUUAAGGGGCACAACAUAAUGAUUUGAUAUGUGUGUGUAUAUUGUGAAAUGAUCACCACAAUAAGUUUAGUUAACAUCCAUCGUCUCACAUGGUUACAGCUUUUUUUGCUUGUGAUGAAAACUUUGAAGAUCUACUCUCUUAGCUAUAUAUUUGUAUUCUAUAAAGACACCACCUCAAGGAUAGUGGUGACUUCUGAAAAAAGGACUUAGACUGAAGGGGAGAGGAGAAGACUUAAAUUUUUUAAUGAAUAGCUUCUGUGUUGCUUGAUAUUUUUUACAAUGAGAAUAUAUACAAUACAUUGCUAGUUUGUUUUAAAAGUAAGUGAAAAGGUAAAAGUAAUAAUGAAAAAAAUUUAAGGGUAAGUUGCUGGCAUGAUGCCCUCCACAUAAAGACAUCCCCUACGUAACCCUGACAGACCCCUCCAAUCAGGAAACUUGCCUGGAUCAUGGCUGCCAUCUAUCCGCACACCCCACUCAAGUUUCUCCAAUUGUCCCACUAAUGUCCUUUAUCUCAAAAGGAUCCAGCCCUCCUCCCCUCUAUGUCACUGUGGUUCUGUCCCCUCCCCCUGCCUGGAUGCCUAGCUUGCUUUGCCAGGCCAGACUGCUUUAGGACUGAGUUGUUUAAGAAGAAAAAGAUUUAUCUAUAAAUAAUAUUUUAUAUAUAUGAUUUAUUGUUGUUUUGGUACAACACCUCCAGAGAGAGCCUCAGGCUAUGUGAGUGAAGUUUGCCCCUCUGGGACUCUGCCCCUUCAGGGCAAGCUGACCGUGUCUUUGUGUGGAGAAAGCCCCUGUGUCAGGGCACAUGGCACUUGCCCCUGGUAGGGCCUCUUGGGGCACUGUACAAAGUGGGCAUCUACACGCAGUGGCUCCAGAGUCAGACUGUCCGGGUUCAUCUCCAGGCCUGCCACCAACUGCUGUGUGGCCUCAGACAAGCUAUUGAACUCUCGAAGCCUCUAUCAAUGAAGGGGGUAAAGGAAAGAACUAUCUCACAGCCUUGUUUGGAGGGUUGCAAGAGCUAAAGGCACUUUAAGCACUUAGCACAGUGCCUGUCGCAUGGUAAAUACCCAAUAAAUGUCGGCUCCUGUCAAUAUAGAGGCAUUUCUCUUAGUGUAACCAAGUCUACCACACCCCAGCUGGAGGGCCCAGGAAGAUGUGCUACCUGUGGCUUCAGGUAGCCCCUGGCACACAGCCCUGCGUCCCUGGGGUGUGUUUAUUCAGUUUCAAACGCAGGGAUGGUUUUCUGCCCUUCCUCUCCUCCGGCUGAAGGAGCAGGGAAUAAACAGCCAGAACAUCCAGGCACCCCUUCUCCUCCCUGCUUGCUACUUCCUUCCCCAGUCCCCACCUCUCCCACGUCCUGAGGAAGAACAAAGCAGCAGAUGGGCGAAAUGAAACAGGACCAGGCCGAGCGGUUUCACAACAGCACCCAGCUCCCAGCGGUGGCCGAGGCGGCCUGCUGACGCCGAGAGCUGGCCAGCGCCCUAGGGAGCAGAGGACAUUUGGAGGAAGAUACUACAUUUUCUUUUCAACUUCUGAGAAAACAGAGUCUCCACGAGGCACGUGGUCUGGUCUGCAGAGUGAGAUUUCUCUCCCUGUGCACUGUGGCAAUGCAUUCACCACAAACCCCUCAACAGAGGCUGACAUUCUUAUAAGAAGUUAAAAACGAAAUGCAAUUCUAAUCCUUAGGAGAGUCAUCUUUUUGUCUGUGUUUUUCCUUGCUUGUCUCUAGGUCUCUGCCAAUUUAGAGUCAGAGACAAUAUGUCACAUGAUUCCUUUUAAAGUUGGGCUCUGGCUGCUGCUGCUGUUCCUACCCACUGCCCAUCUGCCUGCUCUGAAGGCAACCCAAGGAUGGGGCAGGGUGGGGGACUGCCACAGAGAGCACACAGUAAGAACUGAAAUAUUUGACUGGACUUGGUCCUAACAGAGGCAAGUUUAUUACCCUAAAUGUCCUGGAAACCUUGUUGCCUCUGGCUCGAGAAGACUCCAGGCUCCGUCAUUCCCGGAGAGCCGUCUGCAGCUAGCCUUGGCGUCCCUCUGCAAGUGGCUGUAACGUGAGUCACGGGGGCAGUCUCCAGUGAGGCUGAACAUGAGGUGGGUACAGAGGAGAAAGGCUGCGCCUCCCCCAGCUUCGGGGCUGAAAGGCCAGCAGGCUGGGCAUGGCCAAUGGGCCCCCUGGGGUUUCUCGUGGGGCUGAGGGGUCAAGCAUCAGCAGGGAGGAGAGGGAGCUCAGAGAGGACAGGUCAUGCCAGGCCAGGCCCUGUGAGAAAUGGCUCUGGUGUGGACUGCUGGGCAGACCCAUAAUAUCAAAACCAGAUAUUGCCUUAGGAUGGAAAGAACACGCUGGGUUCUUU